GCUCCGCUCCCCCCAGGCCUCAACCCCGCUGGCUACCCGCGCUGAAACCUCACCUGCCGCCGGCUGCAAACGGACUGCGCUCCAGGUUCUGCCAAAACAAGUGAUUGCAACAUAUAAUUGGACCAGCAACUAGAUGAUGUGACUCUUCUCUUCUGCCUGAGCCCUGGAUAUACUGUGUAUUAUGACACAUGGCUGAGUCCAACAUCAAGGUGAUGUGACUGACCACUUCUGCCUGGGCCAUGCCGAAAAAAGGAGAUUGUGACAUAUCACUGCAUUCAAUACCUAGAUGAUGCUCCAUGACAAGUGGCACCAACAACAGGGACUUCAAGGACGUGACGAAGAAGGUCUGCUAGAGCAGAGGAAGUGAAAUUUACCAGAUGAACCGGGACCCCAGGACGAGUCUGUCAGCAGGGAAUA
rnacentral:lncRNA from 1 species